CCUAAGAGAUACGUGUUAUGUGCAGUGCUCACACAGAUUGUCUGAUGAAGAACGAGCAAAAGCGCGUCUGCGAAGCUGACAAAAGUCCCCUUCGUCUAGAGGCCUAGGACACCGCCCUUUCACGGCGGUAACAGGGGUUCGAAUCCCCUAGGGGACGCCAAUGCGCGGUAUGAGUGAAAGGCGUACCACUUAUCUGACGAGAGUCAGAGAAUAACUAAGCUAAUUCAAACGAGUUAUCUUACUUAUUAUGCUCUUUAACGAUCUGGAACAAGCUGAAAAAUUGAAAACAAAUCAAUAUAUCAACGAGGUAUAUUGGUGAGUCUCUCAAAAUCUCAAACCUUAAAGUUUGUCACACAAAGUUUAUCUUUGAAAAAGACACUUUCGGGUUGUGA
rnacentral:misc_RNA from 1 species